AUCGAGGAAGAAAGAAAAUAAGUAAAACAAAUUCAACGGCCGACGAGGGAAAACUUUUCAAACCUCUCCACCUCUUCCACGCCUCUGCUAUAACCGUAGAACCCUUAACUCGAUCUCCAUGUGAAAAACCCCAAAGCCCUAGCCUCUCGAUCCUCUCCAUCUCACUUCCAUGGGGAAGCGCUCUCGUAUGUUGAGGUCCUCCAGCUUCGGGGCGGCCAGUCCCCUCGACAAG
rnacentral:lncRNA from 1 species